rnacentral:rRNA from 1 species
CCUACGGGAGGCUGCAGUGGGGAAUAUUGGACAAUGGGGGCAACCCUGAUCCAGCAAUGCCGCGUGGGUGAAGAAGGUCUUCGGAUUGUAAAGCCCUUUCGACGGGGAGGCGGUACCCGUAGAAGAAGCCCCGGCUAACUUCGUGCCAGCAGCCGCGGUAAUACGAAGGGGGCUAGCGUUGCUCGGAAUGACUGGGCGUAAAGGGCGCGUAGGCGGUUUGGACAGUCAGGCGUGAAAUUCCUGGGCUUAACCUGGGGGCUGCGCUUGAUACAUCUGGACUUGAGUGGGGAAGAGGGUCGUGGAAUUCCCAGUGUAGAGGUGAAAUUCGUAGAUAUUGGGAAGAACACCGGUGGCGAAGGCGGCGACCUGGUCUUACUGACGCUGAGGCGCGAAAGCGUGGGGAGCAAACAGGAUUAGAUACCCUUGUAGUC